CUCUGUCACUCUACUCUGCUUUUGCUUCUGUAGUUCUUCCUCCUCCGCUUCUGUUCCCUUCCAGAAUCGAAGAGAUGAGAUCAAUCUCAAUCCGUCUCCGCCUCCGUCUCCUACUGCGCAAUCCGUGUCAGUCUUCCAGUACCAACUCCACCGCAGCUCCGAUAAAUACUAGUAGCGGUAGUGUUAGAUCCCAUCGAGAUGUCAGACGACGGUUUUCUUGAAUCUUUGUUCGGCAAGUUCUAUCACGACGAGUCCCUGCGUCCUCCGCCGGAAAGCGGCGAUGGGGAAGCCGAGGAUGAUUCCUGGGACUGGCAUGAAGCCCUCGUCGACAACGCCGCCUACAUGAUCUACGAGCGUAACCACACCACUGCCCAGUGUCCCGUCUCCAGGAAAGUAAGGGGCGGCGGUGUCAAGCAGGAUUUUCUGCAGGUCACUUUCUGCCUCUCCCAGCCACCUCAUAUUUCAUACUUCUGCAUGUCCUACACAAGCAGGGACCCCAGCCAGUUCCGCUGCGAGCCUACCAUCUUCGCAACGGAGGGUAACCUCGCCGUCAUCGGCCUGAUACACAACUGGACCCUGCAGAACUCCCCAAGCUGCGUCUAUUUCGUUUACCGCGCCCCAAUCCUUGGCAGUCAGUUUCCUCAGCUCACACUGCUUCCGCACCCCCCCAGCGAGGUGUUUCCGGAGCAGUAUGAAUCUGAAUGCCAAUUGGGUCAUAACGAAAUUGGCAUCCUGCGCUACCGGUCCAAUAGCGCCAGCAAGCAUCUCCCUUUCACACCGCCCACCCCCACCCUCUCUCACAACCCCCUGCCCCCGCCCUUUCCCGCCGUCGCAAAUCCCACACCACCGGCGACGACUAUGAUGCCUACAAGAUCGCAACGCUUUGCUAUUAUGGUACUAAUCAGUACGUUCUCUACAUCUACGAUUCCGUCGCUGACGCUUGGAGCCGCACACCCACGGCCUUUCCACGGCCGCAGGACGCUCCCCCCGAGCAUCUCUGCAACAGGGUCAUCACCGUAGGAGGCGCCAUGGGCUGGGUCGACCUCUGGCAUGGCAUACUCCUUUGUGACGUGCAUGUCCCCUCUCCUGCUGAGGAGGAGGAAUCCCCCGGCCCUAGGCUGCUCCACUACGUACCGCUGCCGGAGCCAAUGCAGCCGGACAACGACCUCCGUCUUCAUGGCUUCUCCUCCUUCUUCCGGGACAUCGCCGUGGUGAAUGGUCGGAUCAAGUUCGUCGACCUUCAGCUCCAUGCCAGCCCGGGCUCGCGCACCCCGAAUGGUUGGACGGCCGUCACAUGGAGCAUGGCGCCUGGUGAUUCGGGUUUCAGCAAGGACGGAGAACUUAAUUCCUGUGAUUUGGUCAACCCCAUGGAGCCGUCCCUGUUUGUUGCUCACCCCACGCUCAGCUCCCAUCAUGAUGGUGUUCUCUACCUGAUGACCAAGGCCAGCAUGGAUGAUAGUGUGUCACAGGUGAUUGCUGUUAACAUGAAGAACAAGGAGAUAGAGCGAACCGCAAAAUACACCACACACAGAGAAGCUUGUAUGGACUUUGCGUACACGCGCGCAAUCAUCUCUAACUUUCUCGCUCCAGAUUCGAAGGGCACCACAAAGCGACCAGGGUCGGUGUUGCAGGGAUCCUUUCGGAAGAAGCUGCCUGUGAUCAAUCCCAGCACCCAUCUUCCUACGAUGGGUGAUGAAGGGGAUGCUAUGGACUUGGAAUGAUGUUGGGUUAACAUGGUCACCGUUGUCAGGGGUUAUUUGCAAUUCUUUUCAUGGCCAAUUGAGUAUGUUGGAUAUUAGGACACAAUUAAUAGUUUCAAACUUUGCUGGGAUGCCUGUUUGCCCAAUCUAUGAUCAUUGGUUCUGCAAUGUAAUGCUAUAUACAUCUACUAGGUUAAUUAUUUGCCUGCUUAUUCA